UACAGAGGUCUCGAGCGUUGUUCGGAUUCAUUGGGCGUAAAGGGUGCGUAGGUGGCGUGGUAAGUCUGGUGUGAAAUCCCGGGGCUCAACCCCGGAACUGCACUGGAUACUGCCAUGCUUGAGUACUGGAGAGGAGAUUGGAAUUUACGGUGUAGCAGUGAAAUGCGUAGAUAUCGUAAGGAAGGCCAGUGGCGAAGGCGAAUCUCUGGACAGUUACUGACACUGAGGCACGAAGGCCAGGGGAGCAAACGGG
rnacentral:rRNA from 1 species